GAAACGCAGCGAAAUGCGAUACUUGGUGUGAAUUGCAGAAUCCCGUGAACCAUCGAGUCUUUGAACGCAAGUUGCGCCCGAGGCUAUCCGGCCGAGGGCACGCCUGCCUGGGCGUCACGC
rnacentral:rRNA from 1 species